rnacentral:lncRNA from 1 species
UGGGAGGUGGGCACAUGGACCAGAGUGCCCAAGGGUGUAGCGCAGAAGGUGAGGCAGGUAGCAAUUCCAGUGAAAUCUAGGAGGCAGAUUUGUAUCCAGACUCAGCUUUCCUUAAGAAUGAGGUCUUGAGCUGACCCUGGAUCCUGAAUGCUGCUCAAGGUAGCAGCUCAUCUGUUCUUGGAAGUUAAAGCAUUUUGCAAACCUGUGGUAGGACUGUCAGGAGGUGAUGGUGGAAGUCAACAGAUCGGUAUCCAUGCAUGUCUCUGCACUGGUGCAGGUAAAUCACUGAAGCUUACUGCUGUCAGUCUAAAGCAGACAGCUUAUAGAAUGCGUCCUUGCAUCAAUCCUCGUCCAUGAAGAGAGCCUGGAGAUUUAAUAUUUAAUGUUUCUAACCACC